GUGCUCACUUCGUCAUAUACUAAAAUCGGAACAAUACGGAGAAGAUUAGCAUGGCCCCUGUGCAAGGAUGACAUGCAAAUUCAUAGGGGAGGUGGAGGUUGUG
rnacentral:snRNA from 1 species